rnacentral:rRNA from 1 species
CGUGAUUGUGGUUAAUUCUAGUAACUGUGGUAUUCCAUAUUUGUGAAUCUCCUGUACAAGUGAGUUCCAUUGUUAUAGAACUCAAUGCUGCUCUACAUCAUCUUAAAUGUCUGCUUGUGAACCAUGUACCAUAAUCUUUCUGCCCCUUAUCCUUAAUGCUUGCCUGUGUUAGUAUUUUACUUUCUCAAGCAAAAUGAAACUACUAAAAAGGCAGAGAGUAUAAUCUGAACCUUCCCUUGCUUCUUUUCAUUUUCCUUGUCGUCGAUUUGCCGGAACAAUCUUAGUUAGUUUAGAUUUAUAUCUCCUUGCUAUCAUCAUCUGUAUUCUGUCACCUAGCUUUAGCCGAGCAUAGUCGCUGUCGUCUAGUCCCUGUGGGGAACACGACACUCGCAGUUUGGGCGAAAUAUCCCGCUGUACUUACAAUCGAUCACAUAAUCAACAUAGAUUUAUACUUUUUGCUAUCUCAUUUAGAUCGAGAUCGACUCGACAUCGUUACAAGCUGAGCAUGAGUCAUGUUCUACAGCUUGACCUUGAGCUUCAUUCAGUUUGAGCUGCCUCGAAUUUUAAUAUGAGUUAAACUGAUUUGAUUUUAUGCCUGCUUAAUAUAUUGCGUUUCUUCUUAAAUUGACUCAAAAUUUUAUGUCUGGUUUACCUACACAAGGGCACAAUGAUGAAUUUUAUAGAGGAUGCUCCUGGUACACAACAUUCUUACUUCAUAAUCACCUAUCUGAAUGGUGCAGAACAUCAAUGCUUUGUUAAUGCUAAUUCCCAUGAUUGUUUUUGCGUGCAGUAAAGAAAGGCUCUGUUCUCUUAACACGGAUGGAAAGUAUAACGGCAUACAAAAACCAACAUGGACAACCCAGAUUUGGAACUGCGGAACAAUCUGACACUCCAGUGUCUGCUAAUGACAUGUGUUCCCUUGCUGAAUGGCCAUCCCAUGCUCGCCGCAACCGUGGGCUACUACAGGAUGAAGCUGGUGGAUAGAAGAAGAAAGGGCGAGGUGUUCUAAAGGGUUUUAAAGCAUCUAAGAAGCGUUUUGCCAAUGGAUCUGCAAAGCUAAAUAUUACAUUCUCUGAAAAAUUGGGUGGUACAGUAGGAAUGAACUAUCAUUCGUUCAAGGAUGACGUGGUAGUCAUAAUGAAAAGAAAGUUACCACUCAUUGGAGUGAGGACAUGGUCGAACAUUCACCCUACCAUUUAUCGACUCAUUGUUGCAGAUAUGAUAGACAAAUGGGAUCUGGAAGAUACACCAGAAACAGAAGAAAAAGUUCUCAAAAUGGCGAAAGAGAGAUAUAGAGGCUGGCGAUCAACUCUAAGCUCCACUUACAAGGCAUACAAAACAGAUGCGGCUUGAUUGGCUAAUCUGCCGGAAGAUUUACAACCAGAAGAGUGGGAAUGGAUGAUUGAGUACUUUGGCACUGAUUCAAAAUUUUAGGUUAUCUUUAAGAUCACGGUUUGUCUAUUAUGUGUUAAGAUGAAAUGGCUAGUCUCACUGGUUAUAUCUGGUUUCAAUGAAUUGAUUGGACCGUAGCCAAAAGAACGCCGAUAACCGUAAGAAACAGAAGACAAAACACAUAAUCGGAUCAAAAUCUUACUCGCAAGUUAGUUUUGAGAAGGUAUGAGUCCAACCAAAUAUGUAUGCCUCGCUGCUAAAUAUGGUGUCAUGUUUCAAGCAUCUCAUUGUUAUAUUACUUGCAGAGAAACUUUAGCAUAAGAAAUCAUAUGACAAUAUAUAUAUGUUGCUAUUCUAAGAAUGGUCAUGAUGCCCUCAUGUCCGUAUUUUGUUUUAUCGACACCUCUAUCUCUAAAU